UGGAGUGCUAAAGCUUCAUGAGAUUUUGCUAGUGAAACCUGAACCUGUUGAUGAAAAUUGCACCGACGCAAGGUGGAAGUGGUUUAAGGGUUGUCUAGGAGCAUUGGACGGGACAUACAUCAACGUUCGUGUUCCUGCCACAGAUCUUCCCAGAUAUCGCAAUAGGAAAGGACAAAUAUCCACCAACACAUUGGCUGUAUGCGACCGCCGUCUAAGAUUUGUCUAUGUGUUACCUGGGUGGGAGGGAUCUGCCGGGGACUCGAGGAUAUUGCGAGACGCACUCAGUAGACCACUUGGCUUCAAAGUACCAAGAGGACAAUACUAUUUGUGCGACAACGGGUAUGCGAAUAGUGAAGGCUUUAUCACUCCAUACAAAGGAGUUAGAUACCAUUUGAAAGAAUGGGGACCCUCUUGUGAAGCCCCUCAGACACCGGCAGAAUUGUUCAACAUGCGUCAUACCAAGGCUC